GGAAGCCGUCACACCGCAAAUGCAUUCAUGCGCGCGCGCAUAUCAGAUCGAUCGCUGCAGUUACAAAACAAAGUGACGGCCGAAUCUGUAAGAGAAUGAAUAAUACUUAACAAAGUUACUCGUUUUCUUUCGUUAUAAAUACAAUGUGUUUUAAUGUGGUCGCUGAGUAGGUAUUAUGUUACCAACUCUUACAGGAAAUACUGUAAGUGGAUUAACAAACAUCAAGUAUAUCUAGCUUAUUUACUUGGUAUACUACGUCUGCACGUGCCGCUCAGCUGACAGAGGGGUUGUGGAGGGUUCCCUCCUCCUUCCUCGGAAUAAUGCAGUCGCUAAUAUCGAUAUAUUUGUCGAUAAUAUUGUAAUUAUUUAAAAAAAUACUAAUGUAACAUUUUAUGGUUCUAAAUAUGUUUACAAAACUAAAAUGUUAUAAAUUAAGAGUACGACUUUAAUUAUGAGAAAUAAGACAUAAAUUGUUAAAUAUUUUUAAACGUUACUUCAAUAAAAGAGGAAUUUACUGUACUGUUA